CCGGCGGCUGCGCGGCUCCGAGGCAGCGCCGCUGCCGAGCGCGGAGAGCUGCGCCCUGCCCGGGGCCAGCGGGGGCGGCUCGCCCAGCUCUGCCAGCGGCAGUCCGCCCCCGGCAGCCAGAGCCUUGCCCGCAUCCUUCCUGCGAGCUGAGAGGGACAUCGGCGAGAGCUGGAGAGCCCCGGCUGGAGCCGUGCGGAGGGAGGGCUGCAACAGGGCAGAGGAGGAUGCUGAGACGCUCCUUUCUACAGCUGUACAGCACAGAAACAUUUCUGCAAGCUUGAAGCAAAGGGACUGUUACAUGGGAGGAAGCACUGAGCACUUCUGGGCAAGCAAGGAUCCAUUGCAAAGCACAUCCAGAAAAGGAAGACCUUUAUUCUCACUCAUGAGAAAGAUCUGUCAAGUCAGUGCGUGGUUUGAUUGAAUGAGAGCAGUGAAACUGCUCUCUGUGGUGGAAGAUUUUUAAAAAGAGAGAAAAAUAAUUAAUUUAAAUUCUAGAGGUCAUGCUAAAGUGAAAAAUCAAGCAUUUACCCAAGCCAAAAUUAUUUUUCUCUUUUCAUUUUGUGGGAACAUGGAGUCCCUUAGGCAUUUACAGUGUUUGGAAAUGACUGUCUUACAUGGAACUCUGUGUCAUAGCUCAGAUUCACAGGUUGGUAUGGGUCAUAAUUAUCAUAGGAAUUAGCUGAAGACCAUAGCAAUUAACUAUUUUUAUGGCUUAUUAUCAUAUUCUAAAUACUAAAUUGUCUGUCAAAUAGUCUGAGAGAUUUGAUAGCUGACCCACAGACAGUGCACUGCCUUUGCUUACAUACUUAAGCUACAAGUAUUUCUAGGAAGAUAUAGCUUAUUAAUUCAUUAUUAAGAUAUAGCUUAUUAAUUCAUUAUUAUUUUAUUGAUGUUCAAUUGAUGUCUGAUUAAAUAUAAAUUAGACACUUGGUAAUAAUAAUGUAAUAGGAUGAGGCAGGUGAGAUUCCCUCAGGAUAGUUUGUAAUGAAGCUUCAAGUUUUUAAUAAUCUUAAACUCAUAAAUAAAUUAUUACAUGUGAAAUAAAUGCA
rnacentral:lncRNA from 1 species